UUGAAUAAACUUGGUCAAGCUGUUGCUGGUCCUUCGGGGCAUGUGCACGCUUGCCACCAAUUUUAACCACCUGUGCACCUUUUGUAGAUUGGAAACGUUUCUCGAGGCAACUCGGAUUGAGGACUGCUGUGCGCAAGCCGGCUGUUCUUGUGUUUCUCAAUCUAUGUUUUCAUAUACUCCUAAUGUAUGUAUCAGAAUGUAUUGUUAGGCCUCAGUGCCUUUAAAUCAAAUA
rnacentral:misc_RNA from 2 species